CCUACGGGCGACAGCAGUGGGGGAUAUUGCACAAUGGGGGGAACCCUGAUGCAGCGACGCCGCGUGGGUGAAGGAGUGCUUCGGCAUGUAAAGCCCUAUCGGCAGGGAAGAAGCAAGACGGUACCUGACUAAGAAGCCCCGGCUAACUCCGUGCCAGCAGCCGCGGUAAUACGGAGGGUGCGAGCGUUAAUCGGAAUUACUGGGCGUAAAGCGCUCGUAGGCGGUAUGUCAAGUCAAGGGUGAAAUCCCCGCGCUCAACGUGGGAACUGCCUUUGAAACUGGCAAACUGGAGUGUGUGAGAGGAUAGUGGAAUUCCAGGUGUAGCGGUGAAAUGCGUAGAUAUCAGGAGGAACACCGGCGGCGAAGGCGGCCUGCUGGACCGCGACUGACGUUGAGGCUCGAAAGCGUGGGGAGCGAACAGGAUUAGAUACCCGGGUAGUC
rnacentral:rRNA from 1 species